rnacentral:lncRNA from 1 species
AGCUGCGUUUGGGUCCCCUUCGAUGGUGUUGGGGUUUUGUUGUUUCGCUCUUUGCAAUAAAUUUUGCUGUUGCUCACCUUUUAGGUCCACACUACCUUUAUGAGCUUUAACACUCACAGUGAAGGUCUGCAGGUUCACUCCUGUAAACCAGCGAGACCAGGAAGCCACCACAAGAAACAACUCUGGAGCCGCCACCUUUAAGAGCCAUAACACUCACUGUGAAGGUCUGUGGCUUCACUCCUGAAGUCAGCGACACCACGAACCCACAGGGAGGAGCAAACAACUCCAGACGCACCACUUUUAAGAGGUGUAACACUCCCUGCGAAGGUCUGUGGCUUCACUCCUGAGGUCGGCGAAACUACGAACCCGCUGGGAGGAAGGAACAACGCGGAUGCGCCACCUUUAAGAGCUGUAACACUCCCUGCGAAGGUCCGCGGCCUCACUCAUCAAGUCGUGCAUAGACCACGAACUCUCUAGAAAGAAAAAACUUCGGACACACCUGAACAUUUGAAGGAACAAACUCCGGACACACCAUGUUUAAGAACUAUAAUGCCGUGAAGGUCCGCGGCAGGACCGGGACCAGGAACUCUUCAGAGGGAACCAAUUCCGGAUACACAGCUUCGUGGAAUGGUUCUGCACUGUGUGUGUGUGUGUUUCCCGUCAACCCUGUGCACACUAUUAGAAGAACACAAGCGUUAAGGCUCCCUCUCAGUCCUGCCGAUGGAAGACAUUGUGAUUUUGACCUUGUUGGAUGCUGCACCUGAAGGUGGAGGAAGAGGAAGAGCCUUGGGGGCUACCAUUCUGGCUGGAGAAGCGGCACGAGGCUCCCUCUUGUGGAUGCAGCAAGGAAACAAAGGAGAAAUAUAUUGCCAUAUAUUGAUUGGACUCUAUUCAGGGCUAUCUUGGAAACUGCAGCUUGAAGACAGCUGGGCCUCAGCAUAC